GAUGAACGCUGGCGGCGUGCCUAAUACAUGCAAGUCGAGCGAACAGACGAGGAGCUUGCUCCUCUGACGUUAGCGGCGGACGGGUGAGUAACACGUGGAUAACCUACCUAUAAGACUGGGAUAACUUCUGGAAACCGGUGCUAAUACCGGAUAAUAUAUUUAACCGCAUGUUUCAAUAGUGAAAGACGGUUUUGCUGUCACUUAUAGAUGUAUCCGCGCCGCAUUAGCUAUUUGGUAAGGUAACGGCUUACCAAGGCAACGAUGCGUAGCCGACCUGAGAGGGUGAUCGGCCACACUGGAACUGAGACACGGUCCAGACUCCUACGGGAGGCAGCAGUAGGGAAUCUUCCGCAAUGGGCGAAAGCUUGACGGAGCAACGCCGCGUGAGUGAUGAAGGUCUUCGGAUCGUAAACCUCUGUUAUUAGGGAAGAACAAAUGUGUAAGUAACUAUGCACGUCUUGACGGUACCUAAUCAGAAAGCCACGGCUAACUACGUG
rnacentral:rRNA from 1 species